UUUGAAAUCUGGCCCCCCGGGCCCGAGUUGUAAUUUGCAGAGGAUGCUUUUGGCGCGGUCCCCUCCGAGUCCCCUGGAAUGGGGCGCCACAGAGGGUGAGAGCCCCGUAUGGUCGGAGACCAAGCCUUUGUAAAGCUCCCUCGACGAGUCGAGUAGUUUGGGAAUGCUGCUCAAAAUGGGAGGUAAAUUUCUUCUAAAGCUAAAUACUGGCCAGAGACCGAUAGCGCACAAGUAGAGUGAUCGAAAGAUGAAAAGCACUUUGAAAAGAGGGUUAAACAGCACGUGAAAUUGUUGAAAGGGAAGCGCUUGUGACCAGACUUGCGCCGGGCGGAUCAUCCAGCGUUCUCCGCUGGUGCACUCCGUCCGGCUCAGGCCAGCAUCGGUCUCCGGCGGGGGACAAAAGCUCCGGGAACGUGGCCUCUUCUUAAGAGGUGUUAUAGCCCGGCUGCAGAAUACCCCGCCUCGGGGACCGAGGACCGCGCCCUCCGGGGCAAGGAUGCUGGCGUAAUGGUCAUCAGCGACCCGUCUUGAAACACGGACCAAGGAGUCGAGCAUUAGGGCGAGUGUAUGGGUGUAAAACCCGCACGCGUAAUGAAAGUGAACGUGGGUGAGAAGCUUUUCUUUCACGAGAAGCCGCAUCAUCGACCGAUCCUGAAGUCUUCGGAUGGAUUUGAGUAGGAGCCUUAACGCUCGGACCCGAAAGAUGGUGAACUAUGCCUGGAUAGGGUGAAGCCAGAGGAAACUCUGGUGGAGGCUCGCAGCGGUUCUGACGUGCAAAUCGAUCGUCAAAUUUGGGCAUAGGGGCGAAAGACUAAUCGAACCAUCUAGUAGCUGGUUACCGCCGAAGUUUCCCUCAGGA
rnacentral:rRNA from 1 species